UACGAAGGGGGCUAGCGUUGCUCGGAAUCACUGGGCGUAAAGCGCACGUAGGCGGCUUCUAAGUCAGGGGUGAAAUCCUGGAGCUCAACUCCAGAACUGCCUUUGAUACUGGAGAGCUUGAGUCCGGAAGAGGUGAGUGGAACUCCGAGUGUAGAGGUGAAAUUCGUAGAUAUUCGGAAAGAACACCAGUGGCGAAGGCG
rnacentral:rRNA from 1 species